UACGAAGGGGGCUAGCGUUGUUCGGAAUCACUGGGCGUAAAGGGCGCGUAGGCGGCCGAUCAAGUCGGGGGGUGAAAGCCUGUGGCUCAACCACAGAAUUGCCUUCGAUACUGGUUGGCUUGAGACCGGAAGAGGUAAGUGGAACUGCGAGUGUAGAGGUGAAAUCGUAGAUAUUCGCAAGAACACCAGUGGCGAAGGCGGCUCACUGGUCCGGUUCUGACGCUGAGGCGCGAAAGCGUGGGGAGCAAACAGG
rnacentral:rRNA from 1 species